ACGGGUGAGUAACACGUGAGCAACCUGCCCUGGACUCUGGGAUAAGCGCUGGAAACGGCGUCUAAUACUGGAUAUGAGACGUGAUCGCAUGGUCGUGUUUGGAAAGAUUUUUCGGUCUGGGAUGGGCUCGCGGCCUAUCAGCUUGUUGGUGAGGUAAUGGCUCACCAAGGCGUCGACGGGUAGCCGGCCUGAGAGGGUGACCGGCCACACUGGGACUGAGACACGGCCCAGACUCCUACGGGAGGCAGCAGUGGGGAAUAUUGCACAAUGGGCGGAAGCCUGAUGCAGCAACGCCGCGUGAGGGAUGACGGCCUUCGGGUUGUAAACCUCUUUUAGCAGGGAAGAAGCGAAAGUGACGGUACCUGCAGAAAAAGCGCCGGCUAACUACGUGCCAGCAGCCGCGGUAAUACGUAGGGCGCAAGCGUUAUCCGGAAUUAUUGGGCGUAAAGAGCUCGUAGGCGGUUUGUCGCGUCUGCUGUGAAAUCCCGAGGCUCAACCUCGGGCCUGCAGUGGGUACGGGCAGACUAGAGUGCGGUAGGGGAGAUUGGAAUUCCUGGUGUAGCGGUGGAAUGCGCAGA
rnacentral:rRNA from 1 species